rnacentral:rRNA from 1 species
GACGAACGCUGGCGGCGUGCUUAACACAUGCAAGUCGAACGGAAAGGCCCGGCUUUUGUGGGGUGCUCGAGUGGCGAACGGGUGAGUAACACGUGAGUAACCUGCCCUUGACUUUGGGAUAACUUCAGGAAACUGGGGCUAAUACCGGAUAGGAGCUCCUGCUGCAUGGUGGGGGUUGGAAAGUUUCGGCGGUUGGGGAUGGACUCGCGGCUUAUCAGCUUGUUGGUGGGGUAGUGGCUUACCAAGGCUUUGACGGGUAGCCGGCCUGAGAGGGUGACCGGCCACAUGGGGACUGAGAUACGGCCCAGAAUCCUACGGGAGGCAGCAGGGGGGAACAUUGCGCAAUGGGCGGAAGCCUGAGGCAGCAACGCCGCGUGCGGGAUGACGGCCUUCGGGUUGUAAACCGCUGUCGCCUGUGACGAAGCGUGAGUGACGGUAAUGGGUAAAGAAGCACCGGCUAACUACGUG